UUUAAUAUGGCAGAUUAGUGCAAUGAGUUUAAGUUUCAUUUAAAAAAUUAAAAUAUUUUUAUUAAAA
rnacentral:tRNA from 1 species